UACGUAGGGUGCGAGCGUUGUCCGGAAUUAUUGGGCGUAAAGAGCUUGUAGGCGGUCUGUCGCGUCUGCUGUGAAAAUCCGGGGCUCAACCCCGGACUUGCAGUGGGUACGGGCAGACUAGAGUGUGGUAGGGGAGACUGGAAUUCCUGGUGUAACGGUGAAAUGUGUUGAUAUCAGGAGGAACACCCAUGGCGAAGGCAGCAAACUGGUCAUCAACUGACGCUGAGGCGCGAAAGCGUGGGUAGCAAACAGG
rnacentral:rRNA from 1 species